AGUAAGUCGUAACAAGGUUUCCGUAGGUGAACCUGCGGAAGGAUCAUUAUCGAAUUGUAGGGCGAGGGUUGUCGCUGGCCUCUCGGGGCAUGUGCACGCCCGAGCCCUUGAAUCCCAAACACCACAUGUGAACCCACCGUAGGCCUUCGGGCCUAUGUCUUAUCAUAUAAUCUGAAUGUCUAAUAGAAUGUAAACCCAUUUCGUUGCCUUGAAAACGUAACGAAAGAAAACUAUACAACUUUCAACAACGGAUCUCUUGGCUCUCGCAUCGAUGAAGAACGCAGCGAAAUGCGAUAAGUAAUGUGAAUUGCAGAUUUUCAGUGAAUCAUCGAAUCUUUGAACGCACCUUGCGCCCCUUGGUAUUCCGAGGGGCAUGCCUGUUUGAGUGUCAUUAAAUCCUCAACCCCUCCGAUUCGUUUCGGUGGGGAUUGGACUUGGAGCGUGCUGGCGAAGGUCGGCUCCUCUUUAAAUGCAUCAGCGGAGAAAAUGCCUUUUGCGCCUCUGGCCGUUCAGCGUGAUAAUGAUGUUGCGCUGCGGUCGAGCUUAAGGUCCGCUUCCAAAGGUCCUCGGACAAAUAUACAUAUGACUUUGACCUCAAAUCAGUA
rnacentral:rRNA from 1 species